rnacentral:misc_RNA from 1 species
UGCUUGGCGUUGGACGGUUUUGGUUGAUUGCCAUCGACCCCUCCUAAAGACAAUGACGGCGGCCUGUGGAAUCCCCGGUACACUGAGCUUUUAACUGAGCACGUAUCGGAUAAGGGUGCCCGGGACACGGUCCUCUCCUUGUAUUAGGAAACUUUUUAAAGGUUGACCUCGGAUCAGGUAGGAAUACGCGCUGAACUUAA